rnacentral:ncRNA from 1 species
AAACUCUGGAGAAUUCAUUGGGUUGAAUACCGAAGGUGCAAGGCUUUUGCCGAAUCUCUCAGGUAAACAGACAGAGCGG